GACGAACGCUGGCGGCGUGCUUAACACAUGCAAGUCGAACGGACAGGCCCUGCUUUUGUGGGUUGCUCGAGUGGCGAACGGGUGAGUGACACGUGAGUAACCUGCCCUUGACUUUGGGAUAACUUCAGGAAACUGGGGCUAAUACCGGAUAGGAGCUCCUGCUGCAUGGUGGGGGUUGGAAAGUUUCGGCGGUUGGGGCUGGACUCGCGGCUUAUCAGCUUGUUGGUGGGGUUGUGGCUUACCAAGGCUUUGACGGGUAGCCGGCCUGAGAGGGUGACCGGCCACAUUGGGACUGAGAUACGGCCCAGACUCCUACGGGAGGCAGCAGUGGGGAAUAUUGCACAAUGGGCGGAAGCCUGAUGCAGCAACGCCGCGUGCGGGAUGACGGCCUUCGGGUUGUAAACCGCUUUCGCCUGUGACGAAGCGUGAGUGACGGUAAUGGGUAAAGAAGCACCGGCUAACUACGUG
rnacentral:rRNA from 1 species